GCAAGCUCAGUUGGGCUGCAGCUGCUGAAGGAGCCAGAUGCUCCUGCCUGCUUCUGAGCUAGGAGACUGCCAUGGAUCUCUGUGGCACGGAGGACUGGCCAACACUGCCGGAGCCACACACUGACCAAGCCGAGGAGGAGUUGCUGACACUGCCGCUGGCCUUCUAUCUGGACGGUGCAGAGGCCCCCGUACAGACCCAGGCCUGGUCUUCUGCAGCUAUGAAAUGUGAUGCUUACUCGGAUGCUUCGCUAACGGCACCCUAGGGACCAAUCCUGCUUCCAAAAAAAUGUUCCUUGGAGUAACACGAGUGAUUUAUUAACUUUCAGCCUACUCG